CCGGGGCAGAGCAGCAAGUCCGGGGCACAGCGGCGGUUCCGGGGCAGAGCGGCGGCUCCGGGGCAGAGCUGCGGUUCCGGGGCAGAGCGGCGGCUCCGGGAAGGCACCGGAGGCGGGUCCGAGGCAGAGAGGCGGGUGCGGGGCAGAGCCGCAAGUCCGGGAAGGCCCGGCGGCGGGUCCGGGCACUGAGUGGCGGUUCCGGGCAUUGAGCGGCGGCUUCAGUAAGGGAUCGGCGGUGGGUGCGGGCGUUGAGCGGCGGCCCCGGCAGAGCCCGCUCCGGUAGCCCAGGCUCCGCGGCCAUGGAGCAGCAGCAGCGGCGGGCGCUGCGGCGCGGGCGGGCCCGGCUGGUGGCGGCGCUGCGGGUGGAGCCGCUCUGGGAGCCGCUGGAGCAGCGCGGGCUCUUCACCCGGCCGAUGCUGGAGGAGCUGCAGAGCACUGGCAGCCGAGGAGAGCAAGCCCGGCAGCUGAUCAUUGAUCUGGAGACUCGCGGGAAGCAGGCUUUCCCUGCCUUCCUCUCCAUCCUGCAGGACACUGGGCAGGGCGACCUUGCUGAGAUGCUGAUCCAGGAGUGCGAGUCCCGGCCGGUGUCAUCACAGCUGCCAGACCUGAGGCCUGUGGAGCUGGAGUUGCGGGAGGAAAAACAGCGUAAAAAUGUGACCCCUCAUGAACGUUUGUCUAUCCCAGUCCAAGCUGAGAGUGAAAGACCUCAAAUGCCUCCUGUGCCAGCCCGGGGUUCUGCUGUUGACAAGAGAAGCCGUGACCAGAAUUACGAGAUGAAAGCGGAUCCCUGCGGACACUGCCUGAUCCUCAAUAACGUCAGUUUCUCCAGAGACUCGGGUCUGUCCACCCGAGAAGGCUCUGACAUUGACUGUGAGAAGCUGGAGAGGCGCUUCAAGGCCUUGCGUUUCACUGUCCUGACCCGGCGGGAUCUGAAGGCUCAGGAAAUGGUGUUGGAGCUGCUGAAGCUGUCUCGGCAGGACCACAGUGCUUUGGACUGCUGCAUUGUGGUCAUCCUUUCCCAUGGCUGUCAGACGAGCCAUAUUCAGUUUCCUGGAGGCGUUUACGGAACGGAUGGAAAACCCAUUCCCAUAGAAAAGAUUGUGAACUAUUUCAAUGGGUCCAAUUGCCCGAGUUUGAGAGGAAAACCCAAACUGUUCUUCAUCCAGGCCUGUGGUGGAGAACAAAGGGAUCAAGGCUUUGUAGUGGAUUGUGAUUCGCCUGAAGAGGAAGCUCCUGGCGGUUCCUUGGAGUCGGACGCGACCCCGUUUCGGGUUUCAUCGGAUAACAUGGAUGAGCCCGAUGCCAUUGCCAGUUUGCCCACACCUAGCGACAUCUUGGUUUCCUAUUCAACUUUUCCAGGUUUUGUCUCCUGGAGGGAGAAGUCAAGUGGCUCGUGGUAUGUGGAAACGCUGGACAGUGUGCUGGAGCAAUACGCCCACUCAGAAGACCUGCUCAGCAUGUUAGUGAGGGUGGCACACGCUGUCUCUGCCAAGGGGAGGUACAAGCAGAUCCCAGGAUGUUUCAAUUUCCUCCGUAAAAAAUUCUUCUUCACGUGCCACUGACACAUGGGCUCCGAGCCCCCUGCCAAAGACUGGAGAUUCUUCCUGUGGCUGAAUGAAAUCUGUGCCCACCAUGACUUGGUGUCAGUGCUCCUUGGGGAUUUUGUCUGUGUGUCCAGAUGUUUGUCUGGAGAAAUGUGAUCCACAAGCGCUGUCUUUGCGAUGGAGUGGAGAUGAGAUGGAGAUUGUGCUGUGCCAAUGGGAAAUGUGGAUGUACCUGGAAGUCCCUUUGCUGGAGAACAGAGCCAGAGGAGAGCGCUUCUGACUCAUCCUGACAUGGCCAUGCUUGGCCUCAGAGUGUUUUUCUUUGCUGAUCAUGAUACUUGUGUCCUGUGCCAUCCAGCACCUCCUGAAGGCUCCUCUGAAGUGGGAGGAGUAGGAGCCUUCACUCAUGUCUGUGCUGCUCUGUCUGGUCAUUUACAAUGUGGCUGUGCUAGCCUGUGGAGCAUCCUGAUCCUUUCAAGGAGUCAAUUGGGAGUUACAGCAGAAAACUGAUGAGGAUUCAUUGAAAUACCAGUGCAGAGGUAAAGUUCUUAAGGAGCUGCUACCAUGAUGGCCUUGGGUCAGAAAUCCUGCAUCUGUUUUGGAUUUUGAGGGGAGAGGGCAUCCUUUGAGCCACCCUUGGGAGGUGCAGAGGCUUUAGGGUAGGUCUGUGCUGAGGGAUGCUUGGGGAUUCCCAGGGAAUUUGGGAAUAUCCAAUCUGCUUUUUCAAUUACUGAGUAUUUCCAUGCUCCUGUGGGAGCAUUUCAGGUGCUUUGAGGGUGCUGCAGGAGGAAGCCAGGGCAGCUUGGAGCACCCCAAGGAGGGUUCAGCUAGAGCUGGGGUGUGGCUGUGAUGGCCUUGUCUGUGCUCAGGUGUUUGUGAGAGCUCAUGGUUGUCUCCUUCUCUAUUCCCCUUCUCCAUCCCCCAGGGGAGUGGGGCUCUGGGCUGCCCUGUCCCAUGUUAUCCAGUUUUGUACAGAGCAUCUAGGUGUGCAGGUGAUCCCAGGGCUGAUCCCAUCUCCCCUGGACCUGUUCUUCUUCAGGAAAGGUCACCCUACACUCUUCCCCUUGUUUAUUUCCCUGCUUCCCUCACUAAGAAAGCACUGGGACUAGGAUAGGGGUGACUUUGGGUAGAGAUGGCUCAGCCUUGUCCUUCUCCUUUCUGUAACAUGGACUGCAGUGGCUGCUCCUUCCCCAGGGCAGGGGUGAGAACAGAGUGGGAGCGCUCCGGCAGCACAGGUGGUGGAGGGAAUGUGGUGGGGCUGUGGAAUGACCCCCAGGACUGACCCAGUUACCUCAACACCCCAUUAUAAAUCUGCUGCCAUCAAGUAGCCCAUUUACCAGCAAGAUCCCUUGAAACAUCCCAGCACCGGCCAAGACACCUAAAACCUCCUUGGGCCAACUAGGUGCCCUAUAGCCCCAUCUCAAGUUCCCUAGAGGCCCCCCAGGACCACCAGGCCAGAUUCCAGCCACUAUCCCAUCAAACCACCAGUCAAGCCUUGAACCCUUUGGCUUGGUGAUGGCUAUGGAUCUACUCCUGGCUGGGAGUAACUUGUGGGGGAUCUCUGCCCACUUUAGGCUCCCCAGGGGCCUGCCCAGCCUCACUGCACAGUGUGGGGGCUCUCCCCAGCACACAGGCAGAAGCCCAGGACCACAAGGUACAGCCCCCUGGUUCUGCCCCACCGCGUCCCCUCAAAAG